GACAAGAAAUAACAAUACAGGGCUUUCGUCUUGUAAUUGGAAUGAUGGUGAUGUACAACCUCACCAGAGUACCAAUUGGAGGGCAAGUCUGGUGCCAGCAGCCGCGGUAAUUCCAGCUCCAAUAGCGUAUAUUAAACUUGUUGCAGUUAAAAAGCUCGUAGUUGUAUUUCAGCCUCGCGUUUUUUCCCUCUUUUCGGGUCUUUUCGCUGGCUUUUUUUUUACUUUGAGAAAAUUAGAGUGUUUCAAGCAGACUUUUGUCUUGAAUACUUCAGCAUGGAAUAAUAGAGUAGGACCUUGGUUCUAUUUUGUUGGUUUCGAGCCUUGGUAAUGGUUAAUAGGAACGGUUGGGGGCAUUCGUAUUUAACUGUCAGAGGUGAAAUUCUUAG
rnacentral:rRNA from 1 species